rnacentral:lncRNA from 1 species
CCAGCAGCAAGCUGGUCUCCUUCGUCACACCACGCCGAGGAUUGACGGCUUUGAUACCAAUUGUGAGGAACCCUAGGGUUCUACCGACGUGAGGAGGUCUCCCCUUGGCCGGAUCUGACCAAACACCCAAACACACAGGUAUGUGGCAGUAUGGUUUCUCUUCUAUUUCAUUUCAUUUCAUGCCUUCUCCAUUACAAAUGCUCAGAUUUAUAGCAGCCCAAAGUGGGUCUAACUGCUAAUCAGUUAUUACAGCUGGAUUAACAGCUAGAUGACAGAUCUAAUCAGUUAUUACAGCUAGAUGCCAGCAGCUUACAGCUGUAUUACUCUAACCCCUCUAUCCUCCUUCUUGCCCUCUUGUUACCUUGUCUGAAUCUAUGCAUUCCUGGUAGGGUCGUGACAGCUACGCGACAAAAUCCAAUCAGACCCAGGUCGUGAAGACCCCAGGUGGGAAGCUUGUGUACCAAUACACCAAGAAGAGGGCGAGCAGUCCCAAGUGUCCCAUCACCGGGAAGAAGAUCCAGGGGGUGGGUGAUUACUUGUUAGGGCAGCUCUACUCUGCUUUUGUCUUCACUGCGGAUUAGUGUAGUCUCGGGUGCUUGGUACAAUAUUGAAGUAAUUGGUGUGAAUUAGUAGAUCUUAUCCAUUGGUUGCUUAAAUGGUUUACAGUGUAUUUUGUCCUCUGAUGGUAUUCAGAGCCGUUCCAAUCCCUGGAGAAAUUUUUUGCCAUCCUACCCUACCCUAUUUCUCUCUCGAUUCCGCUCAAAUCCGAGCAGUCGGGAGAACCAUAUUCGACCGGGAGCUAUUUCACGUCGACCUCGAUGAUGCACCCGUCUUCGACGCCGACACUGACAACCUCAACGCCGAACCCGUCUUUGACGACGUGGUGUUCGAGGACAUUGAGCCCAACUUCGACGACCUCGACGACGAGCCCCUCUUCGACACCAAGUUCGACGAGCUCGACAAGGGACCGGUGUUUGACACUGAGUCGAUCCCCGACCAUGUCGCCGUCUCCGUGUUCGAGUUCGUCAGGCCGGAGUAUGAUGCUGAGCUCACCGUCUUCGACACCGACUCGGACAGCCUCAACGACCUGCUGGUAGUCGACAUGGAGCCGGUCCAUGACGCCGAGCUCACCGUGUUCAACCAAGGAAACGACGGCUCCUUGACUGCACACACCGGCGUCCUCGACGGGCACCCUAUCUUUGACGUGGAGCUCGUAUUUGAUGAGGAGCCUCUCAUCGAAAUCGAUUGCAGCAUCUUUAACACUAAUGCGCCCUUCAUGUGUUUGACAGAUUGUCUGAGCUACGUCGAUGACAUGGUGUCUGCUACUUUUAAGGAGGGGCCUAUCUUUGAUAAGGAGACUGUAGUAGAAGCAGUACAGAAGGAAAGUGACAGGGAUUACUAUACUGUUCACGGUGAGAAAGCCAUGUUUAUUGCAAGGACAUACUAUCACACAAUUUCUGCUUUACGUCAUUUAGGCAGCAACUCUGGUGGAAUCUCAAGUGUCGGUGUGAGCAAGGCUAUGUUUGAGACCAUUGUUCGCAAGAUCUUAUUAGAUAGGACUGACUGUACUUUAGAACUCUACGAGGGUAGUGGCUCUGAUUGGAGGUUAACAAAAUCUGGAAAACCUGGAAAUAUUGGUGGAUUUGAAGACAUUUUGUUUAUAAACAAUGACAUGCAAGAGUCACCAGUCAUGACCAACAGGAAGCUUGGGUUGGCUGAAUUCCGCGAAGAUAACCGAUUCACAAAUGUUGGAUCAGCACUUCUUGCAUUAUGUCUCACAGCAGAUUGUGAGAAAUCCAUCAAUUCACAUUCUCUUCAAGAUGCCAUUACUAAAUGCAGUAUUCUGUUGACUGAGAGAAAAAAGUCUAACUUCAAAUCAAAGGAUCUUGUGCAAGAUCUUGAAGAAAUCAAAGGUUCUGUUAAACUAGUUUGUGAUCUGAUAUCUCAAUUUGACUACUCUCUUGGUGCCCUUGGAGCUCUAUUAUCUUAUGCUGAGUUGCUAGCAAAUGAUACUAAUUAUGGGAAUUACACAAUUGAAAAGUACAAUUUGGACUGCUACAUGAGACUUGAUUCUGCUGUGGUGCUAGCAUUGACCAUUCAUGAAGAAAAAACUGAUGUAAACAAAAACUUUUAUUUGUUUGGCUUGGUGAACAGAACGUGUACUGUUGAGAUGGGAAAGAGAUUGCUUAACCAAUGGCUGAAACAACCUCUUUUAGAUGUGAAUGAAAUCACUAGCAGAUUAUAUAUGGUUCAGGCUGCUAUAUCUACUUUUGAUACCAAAACUACUAUUAGAACAGUUGUGCAAAUACACAUGUGUGAACCUGCUGGUGCUUCUCAAAAUGUUGAACACAUGGGUCAGCUACAAAAGCCUUGGGAUCCUGGUGGUUUUCAUAUUGGGCUUGUUUCUGGAGCGCAGCGUGUUGGUUUCAAUUUCGGAGAAUAUAUUGAGCUGCUGGAGAGGUACAACAAGGCACCAUUCUCUCUGAAGACUUGGGACCCAGAUAUUCAACAUUCUCUAUUCAAAGAAGCUUCUCAUGACUACUUGCACAUCUUCAUAAGACAAAGCAAAUUCAUAAUGAGCAAAUAUACAUGGCAUGAUGUUGCUUGGGGACAAGCAACGUUUUGGCUGGGCGGUAGUGUAACACAUGGCUUGUUUCUGGCCUGGUGUCACAUGGCCCAACCCACGGCCCAACUCGGAAGAUGGGUACAAGAGCAGCAUCAGAGAAAUGAGGAUGGAGAGAAAAAAAGAAUCCGAUCUUAUUCCCUUCUGUCGCCGUCUUCCGUCCGGAGGCGCGAUUCAGCUCGCCAACGCUCGACGGCGGCCCUGCGGUGCGCUCACGUCCCGGUGGUGGCUCACCGGAGGCUACGGGUCAUCACAAGCUCCCGAGCGGCGGCCGUCCUCGGAUCCGCACCUCCCGGAGGCCACCCCUCUCCCCGCCGCGCCGUUCCGCGUCGGAUUGCAGACGCUUGUGCGGGCGACGGUGCUGCGGCGGCGGGGGCUGGGGUUGGGGACCGUGGGGGCGGGGUCCGCGGCGGUUUCUGGUCGCGGGCAUGGUCGGGCGACGCGGGAUCUGAGCCGCCAUUGAUGGUUUUCUUUCGAGCAUUUUGUUGCAAAUGUUUCGUUUUGGUAUAUGCUCUCUGCCUCCUCCUCGCCUCGUCCUCGCUGUUGUGCCAAAAGGUGUGAACGACUUUUGGCGAGAAAUUUGGAUUUUUGCCAUUACAAAGAUUGUCUAAUUUGGCAAAAUAGGUCACUCUAAGUUGCCGCUCUGCGAAAUGAACCGUUUCAAAGCUGAGUCGUCAAAACGGGUCACUCAAACAUCGUUGCUCUUCAAAACGGGUCAGGAGGGUUUUUUUGCAUUUCUGGCAGGUGGGCCCGCGUCGUUAUGUGCCGCUUUUGCCCUUACGCCUGAACGCAACGCCGUCUCCUUCCGUCUUCUUCCUUCAUUUUCCUUUCUUCUCUUCUCUGCCUCCUUCUCCGGACGACGCGAACGCACUCAACGGCGAACCCUUUCUUCGCUGCGGCACAUCGGCGAGCUGGUGUGAGCCGGCGUCGAGCUGGUGGAAAUAGGGGGUCGUCCAAGCCUGUGAUAGGAUCCUGUCGCGCCACUUCCUUCUGCAGGUACUUCCCUCUGUCGCAGCUCUUGUGGCAACACCUUAUUUUGCAGCAUUUGUUUCAUCAUUAUGUGUAAUAAUUUGUGCUAACACUAGAAAUAGGUGGUGACAAUUGCGUGCUCGCAUCAUGGAUGGUAAUGAUGAUGACACCAUGUCUAUUGAUUGGAGUAGCUUUAUUAUUGAGAAUGCUGAAAAUAAGGAUAAUAGGGAUCAGGGUGAUAUGUUUAGAAUCUGUGAUGAGGAUGAGAUGUAUGCGUUCUUAAGGCUUGGAGAUGAGGAUGAGGAGAUGAAUCGAAUCCACCCGGAACAAAGUAACUUUGCAUCUCAUUUUACAUCGGAAAGUAACAGUUUUGAUCCAAGUGAUCUAGAUGCUGCCAUGUCAGUUGAUGAUGAAAAUGCAGAAAUGGUCAAUAUAUUGCACGAUGUUGAUCACCCUGAUCUGAAGUUGGGUACUCUAUAUUCAUCAAUGAAAGAGUUUAGACUAGCUGUGAGGCAAUAUGCUAUAAAUGAGGAGUUUGAGCUUGAAAUAACAAAGUCGGAUAGAAAUAGAUAUAAAGUGUACUGCAAAGGGAAUGAUUGCACAUGCCCUUGGAAACUGAAUGGUUCUACAAGACCGGAUUCUAGUGUUAUGGUACUAACCUUUUCUUCUGAUUCUCUCCAAUUGUAUAAUUUAGUUCACAUAAGUUGGUGUUACUUACAUCGUUAUUUUGUUUUGAAGGUCACCGUAUUAGUGAAUGAGCAUAAAUGUGCUUCAAGCAGCCAGAUAAGUUAUGGGAAUGUCAAUCAAGCUUGGGUAGCUCAGAAGGCUUUGCCUUUACUAAGAAAUGUGCCUUCACUUGGUGCUAAGGCUUUGCAAAAGAGGUUACAAUACACUUACAACUGUAGGGUCAGUUAUGAUGUGACUUGGAAAGGAAUGCAGGAAGCUUUAAAAGAGAUGUAUGACAAUUGGGAUGAUAGUUUCAGUAUGUUGUAAUGUUGUAUAGGUGGAAGAAAGAAAUUUUGAUAAAAGCCCCUAAUAGUGUGGUGGAGAUAGACACCCAAGUUGUAGAUGAAAAAGUGUACUUCCAUAGAUUUUUCUGUGCACUUGAGCCUUGUAUAGAAGGGUUUCGUGCUGCGUGUAGGCCUUACCUAAGUGUGGAUUCAACUGCACUCAAUGGUAGAUGGAAUGGUCACCUAGCAGCUGCAACAGCGUUAGAUAGACACAAAUGGAUGUACCCGGUUGCGUUUGGGUUCAUGGAUUCUGAGAGCAAGGAUAAUUGGGUUUGGUUUAUAACACAGCUUCGAAGGGCCAAAGGGAAUAUGGAGAAACUAGCUAUUUGUACUAAUGCCGGCAAGGGUUUGAUGACUGCUGUGGAACUAGUUUUCCUACAAGCUGAUAAGAGAGAAUGUUUCAGACAUCUGAUGCAAAAUUUCAUCAAAAGAUUCCAUGGAAAUAGUUACAGAGGAAUGUAUCCUGCUGUAAGAGCAUAUAGACAAGCUGAAUUUGAUAGACAUAUUGGGCCCAUUUUGCAUUCUGACCCUGAAGUCAUUACUUGGCUAAAUAGAGAUCACAAAUUCAAGUGGAUGAGGAGUACUUUUGAUCCAGAUAUCAAAUGCGACUACAUCAACAACAAUUUAGCAGAGUGUUUCAACAACUGGGUCAAAGACCACAAAGACCUGCCAGUAGUUCAACUAGCAGACAAGAUUAGAGAGUUUAUUAUGAUCCUAUGGGAGAAAAGGAGGAGAAUUGGAGGCAAACUUUGUGGAACUAUCUUGCCAGCUAUAAUACAUCAAUUGAAUAUAAGGUCUAGAGGACUUGGUCAUAUAAAAGUUGUAAAUGCUGGAAAUGGUCAUGCUGAGGUGUUUGAUAAUAGCCCCAAACAAGAAAGACAUAUUGUUGAUCUAGGAGCGCAAGAGUGCUCAUGUCUGGAGUGGCAGCACACUAGGAAGCCUUGUGACCAUGCCAUAGUUGUCAUCACUAGUUUUAGAAGUGAAAGGAUCGAAAACUAUGUGUAUGGAUUUUAUUCAGUACACAAGUUUAGAAAAGCAUAUUGUAGAGUCAUCUAUCCUAUAAGGGAUCGUUCACAGUGGCCUCAAGUUGAUAUGUACCUUGUUGUAAAAGGACCUUUAGCAAAACGAGGUGUUGGUAGGCAAAGGAAAUUACGAAUGAAAGGUUGUCUGUAAGGUGGGAGUAAACCUAAGACAACCAAUAAAGAAAGUGGUAGGCAAAUGAAAAAAGGCCCUAUACGAUGCAAAAAAUGUGGAGAGCUUGGUCACAGACAAAUAAGUUAUAAGUGCCCACUAAACGGUACCAAAAAAAGAAAUAGGAAACAGAGGAGUCGCAAAUAUGCUGGUGCAAAUGAACCUUCACAGACCGACAUUCAGUCUCCGAAGUCUACAUAUGAUAGCUACAUUUCACUUAUAACUCUCUUGCUUCAAAUGUCGUCAUAUAAUGACUAAUUAAAAUUAUAUUUUGUACUAGCCUUGUACUUGUGUCUGUUAGUGGCAUCCAAUCUUCAAGUGCGCCAAGUGGAGAAGGUGGACCAUCCACUGUUUUAGAAACACAAGGUGCAGCGCCAAGUGGAGAAGGUGGAGGGUCACUGUUUUAGAAACACAAGGUGCAACGCCAAGUGGAGAAGGUGGACCAGGAAAAGAUGGAAGACCUCUUUUAUUACUAGGACCAUCCAGUGUAGCGCUAAGUCUUCCAUCUACUCCAUCAUGUCAUGACACUGGUCCUAAAUUGCUUAAAAAGAAGCUCACACCAAAAAAAGGAAGGCAUGUGUACCUGAUAUGUAAAAUUUCACAUAUGUUGUUUGAACUAUGUGUUAUUUGAACUAUGUGUUGUGUAAACUAUGAAUUCAGUUGUAUUCAGAAUUUGAACUAUGUGUUGUGUAAACUAUGAAUUCAGUUGUAUUCAGAAUUCAGCUGGUAGUGAAACUGGAAAUCCUUCUUGUCAAGUGUUCUUUCUGUCUAUCUUCCUCAUUACCAUGUUCAGUCCAUGUGAAUCUGGGACCAUUUUUAGUCCAUGUUGAUAGAGUUCAAUUCUGGUCAUUUUCAGUGAAUCUGAUAUAGUUCAGUCCAUGUGAAUCUGAUAGAGUUCAGUCCAUUUUACAGUCUGUUUCACUGAUAGAGUUCAGUCCAUGUGAAUCUGAAAGAGUUCAGUCCAUUUCACUGACCCAGUCCAAAGUUCACAGUCAGUGGCCAAGUUACAUGGUCAUCUGUUCAUGUAACUGAAAAUGAAUUGAAAAUCUGGGACUGGGUCAGUGCAGAAAAUGACCAUGUAACUUGGUCAUGCAUGGAAUGCGCAAGGGAUGUGGUGUCUUACAUGAAGCUGUUGGCCAUGGACUGAAAUGAAGUUGUUGGGCAUAUUUCAGUCCCAGAUUCUUCACAUGGGCUGUUUCCUCCUGCACUGAUGAACUGAAAAUCUGGGACCGCAAUGAUAAUGAACUGAAAAUCUGGGACCGCAAUGAUAAUGAACUGAAAAUCUGGGACUGGGUCAGUGCAGAAAAUGACCAUGUUCAGCCCAUGUGAAGAAUGUAUAGAAAAUGAACAGAUGAACUGAGGAGGAGAAAACUGUCCCAUAAUUCAGCUGAAGUCCCAUUACCAGAACUUGGUCAUUUUCGGUCAGUGCAGUGCAUGUGAAAAUCAACUGAACAUGUGUGAACUGAAAUUCAGUUCACAGUCAGUUUGACAAUUCAGUUCACAUGAAUUCACAUGAAGUCAGACAAUUCAGUUCAAAGCUGACCCACAAUUUAGUUCUGGAUGUCAAACUGACAAUUCAGUUCAAAUGAAGUCAGAGAACAAGGUAAAAUGACCCACAAUUUCAGUUCACACAUCCAGGAUUACAGUUCACACAACCACAAUUUCAGUUCACCAGAAUUACAUCCACACAUCCAGAAUUUCAUCCCGUCUCCAGUCCCCUCGCAGGUAACCUUCCCCUUCCCUCAGUAACCUUUCCCCUACCCUAAUCGACGCUUAGGAAUGGUUGUGCACCGUGUAUUUUAGGUUUUAGGUUUAGGGUUUAGAGGUUUAGUGUUUAUCUGUAGUGGUAAAUUUUUAUCUGCUCCUCGUCGUGUACUAAUGGAUGCAGAGAUGUCGAAGAGCACUGAAAUCGCAGAUAAAGCAAUCAUCUUGAUGCAGGAUCAUGCCAAGCAUAUCUAUCGUAUUUGCAAUGAGAAGCUACCCUUGGGUAAGGGCUUGACUGCAUUUGAGGUUAAAGAACAUCGUGAAGCACUUGAAUUCGCCGCCGAAGGAUUGGACCAGGAUUCCCUUUUUUGCCAAGAGGAAUUGGAUGCUACUGUUAAGGAGGAACAAUUGGAGCAUGACGAGAAGGUGACUUUAGAGAGGAUUGAAAGCCCACUACCUUCUCCUGAUUCGGACUGCUUCCUAUCCCUUGAAGAGCACAUUGAGAAGUUUUGGGGCGUUGAUUACAACUCAGACCAGAUGCCUAGCUACUCCGACUAGGUUUACGGUUUAUGGUGACUGAAUUCUGGAUGUGUGUCUUGUAAUGGUUUAUGGUGACUGAAAUUCUGGAUGUGUGUCUUGUAAUGGUUUAUGGUGUCUAAAAUUCUGGAUGUGUGGAUGUAAUUCUGGUGAACUGAAAUUGUGGUUGUGUGAACUGUAAUCCUGGAUGUGUGAACUGAAAUUCUGGUGAACUGAAAUUGUGGGUCAUUUUACCUUGUUCUCUGAUUUCAUUUGAACUGAAUUGUCAGUUUGACAUCCAGAACUAAAUUGUGGGCCAGCCUUGAGCUGAAUUGUCUGACUUCAUAUGAAUUCAUGUGAACUGAAUUGUCAAACUGACUGUGAACUGAAUUUCAGUUCACACAUGUUCAGUUCAUUUUCACAUGGAAUGCACUGACCGAAAAUGAUAAGUUCUGGUAAUGGGACUUCAGCUGAAUUAUGGGACAAUUUUCUCCUCCUCAGUUCAUCUGUUCAUUUUCUAUACAUUCUUCACAGGGCUGAACAUGAUCAUUUUCUGCACUGACCCAGUCCCAGAUUUCCAGUUCAUUAUCAUUGCGGUCCCAGAUUUUCAGUUCAUCAGUUCAGGAGGAAACAACCCAUGUGAAGAAUCUGGGACUGAAAUAUGCCCAACAGCUUCAUUUCAGUCCAUGGCCAACAACUUCAUGUAAGACACCACAUUCCUUGCGCAUUCCAUGCAUGACCAAGUUACAUGGUUAUUUUCUGCACUGACCCAGUCCCAGAUUUUCAGUUCAUUUUCAGUUACAUGAACAGAUGUCCAUGUAACUUGGCCACUGACUGUGAACUUUGGACUGGGUCAGUGAAAUGGAUUGAACUCUUUCAGAUUCACAUGGACUGAACUCUAUCAGUGAAACAGACUGUAAAAUGGACUGAACUCUAUCAGAUUCACAUGGAUUGAACUCUAUCAGAUUCACUGAAAAUGACCAGAAUUGAACUAUAUCAACAUGGACUGAAAAUGAUCCCAGAUUCACAUGGACUGAACAUGGUAAUGAGGAAGAUAGACAGAAAGAACACUUGAAAAGAAGGACUUCCAGUUUCACUACCAGCUGAAUUCUGAAUACAACUGAAUUCAUAGUUUACACAACACAUAGUUCAAAUUCUGAAUACAACUGAAUUCAUAGUUUACACAACGCAUAGUUCAAAUAACACAUAGUUCAAACAACAUAUGUGAAAUUUUACAUAUCAGGUACCCAUGCCUUCCUUUUUUUUGGUGUGAUCUUCUUUUUAAGCAUUCUAAGACCAGUGCCAUGGCAUGAUGGAGUAGAUGGAAGACUUGGCGCUACACUGGAUGGUCCUAGUAAUAAAAGAGGUCUUCCAUCUUUUCCUGGUCCACCUUCUCCACUUGGCGCUGCACCUUGUGUUUCUAAAACAGUGACCCUCCACCUUCUUCACUUGGCGCUGCACCUUGUGUUUCUAAAACAGUGGAUGGUCCACCUUCUCCACUUGGCGCACUUGAAGAUUGAAUGCCACUAACAGACACAAGUACAAGGCUAGUACAAAAUAUAAUUGUCGGCUUUUCGAGACCGGGGGUCCCUGGGCCGACGAGUGAAUUGUCGCCGCGUGCCCCAGCCCAGAUGGGUCGGCGCGAGGCCGAGCGCGAAGGGGGGAGAAAGGUGGCCGGAGACAGGCGUGAGAGAGGUGGAAAUCCCGCGGCCUUCGUGUCCGUCCCGCGCCCAGGUCGUGUGCGCUUGCAGUAGGGGAUUACAAGCGUCCACGCGGGAGAGGGAGCGAGCGGCUUCAAGCGAGCGCCUGUCUCGUCCUCGUCCCCGCGCGGCCAACCCUCUGUAAGAGGGCCCUGGUCCUUCCUUUUAUAGGCGUAAGGAGAGGAUCCAGGUGUACAAUGGGGGGUGUAGCAGAGUGCUACGUGUCUAGCGGAGGAGAGCUAGCACCCUAAGUACAUGCCGUCGUGGCAGCCGGAGAGGUUUUGGCACCCGGUUCGUGUGGUGUCGUGGCCGUCGGAGGAGCGCUGGAGCCUGGCGAAAGGACAGCUAUCGGGGCUGUCGAGUCCUUGCUGACGUCCUCUUGCUUUCGUAAGGGGGCGGAGAGCCGCCGUCGUCACGGAGCGUGCGAGGCGCCAUCAUUGCCUAUCUGGCGGAGCGAGCCAGAUGGGACGCCGGUCUUGUUCCCCGUAGCCUGAGUCAGCUUGGGGUAGGGUAAUGAUGGUGCUUCCUGUCGAUGUGGUCGGUCCACGCCCUAGGUUGGGCGAUGUGGAGGCUCCUCCAAGGUCGAGGUCGAGUCCGAGCCCCUGGGUCGGGCGAGGUGGAGACCGUCGGCUGAGGCCAGGGCUGAGUCCGAGCCCUGGGGUCGGGCGAAGCGGAGUUCGUCGUCUUCUGGGGCUGAGCCCAAGUCCGAGCCCUGGGUCGGGCGGAGCGGAGUUCGCCGUCUUCAGGGGCCUAGCCCGAGUCCGAGCCCUGGGUCGGGCGGAGCGGAGUUCGUCGUCUUCUAGGGCUGAGCCCAAGUCCGAGCCCUGGGUCGGGCGGAGCGGAGUUCGCCGUCUUCAGGGGCCUAGCCCGAGUCCGAGCCCUGGGUCGGGCGGAGCGGAGUUCGCCGUCUUCCGGGGCUUAGCCCGAGUCCGAGCCCUGGGUCGGGCGGAGCGGAGUUCGCCGUCUUCCGGGGCUUAGCCCGAGUCCGAGCCCUGGGUCGGGCGGAGCGGAGUUCGCCGUCUUCCGGGGCUUAGCCCGAGUCCGAGCCCUGGGUCGAGCGGAGCGGAGUUUCCAAUGGGGCCUGAGGCCGGGCCUGACUGCCUGUCAGCCUCACUCUGUCAAGUGGCACCGCAGUCGGUGCGACGCAGGCGGCGCUGUCCUUCUGUCAGGUCGGUCAGUGGAGCGGCGAAGUGACUGUGGUCACUUCGGCUCUGUCGACUGAAGGGCGCGCGUCAGGAUAAAGGUGUCAGGCCGCCUUUGCAUUAAAUGCUCCUGCGAUUUGGUCGGUCGGCGCGGCGAUUCGGUCAGGGUUGCUUCUUGGCGAAGACAGGGCCUCGGGCGAGCCGGAAAUGUAUUCGUUGCUGGAGGGGGGCCUCGGGCGAGACGGAGAUCCUCCGGGGUCGGCUGCCCUUGCCCGAGGCUAGGCUCGGGCGAGGCGUGAUCGAGUCCCUCGAAUGGACCGAUCCCUGACUUAAUCGCACCCAUCAGGCCUUUGCAGCUUUGUGCUGAUGGGGGUUACCAGCUGAGAAUUAGGCGCCUUGAGGGUACCCCUAAUUAUGGUCCCCGACAGUAGCCCUCGAGCCUCGAAGGGAGUGUUAACACUCGCUUGGAGGCUUUUGUCGCACUUUUUUUUUGGCAAGGGGACCAGCCUUUCUCGGUUGCGUUUUGUUCCGGUGGGUGCGCGCGAGCGCACCCGCCGGGUGUAGCCCCCGAGGCCUCGGAGGAGUGGUUUGACUCCUCCGAGGUCUUAAUGCCUCGCGCAAUGCUUUGGCUGGUCUGGUUGUUCCCUCAUGCGAGCUGGCCGUAGCCCGGGUGCACGGUCGGGUUCCAAGUUCUCGGGCUGGUAUGUUGACGCUGUCAACGGUUUGGCCGGAGCCGGGUUUGCGAGAGCAGCCCCCGAGCCUCUGCACAGGGCGAGAGGACGAUCAGGGACAGACUCGACUUUUUUACAUACGCCCCUGUGUCGCCUUUCCGCAAGGAGGAGGGGGGGAAAGCGCCAUGUUGCCCUCGGUGGGCGCCGAACAUGGUGUCUCCGGUGAGCUGCUGGCGGGUAAUCCGAGCGGAUGUCCGUGCCCCAUUUGCUAGGGGUCGGCUAGAGGCCCAGAGGCGCGCCCAAAAGUACCUGCGGGUGAUCUGCCGGACCCGGUCCCCUGUCGACGGGGUCCGAGGGCUCGAUGCCUCCCUCUGAUGGGAUUCCGUUACAAGAUCGUUCCCGCUGGUCUCCGAAAUGUCCUAGGGUACCUCGGGAGCGCAGCCCAAGCCUUGGUUAUGUAUCGAACGUACCCAUGGUCAUCCCUCGCUCUGCGUCUGAGGCAGCUGUGAACCCUUCGAGGGCCAGCCUUCAAACCCCUGAUCAGUAGUGGGCGCGGAGCCCGAGUAGCCUGAGGCGGUCGUUGAACCCUUCCGAGGGGCCGGCCUUCGAACCUCUGACCAGUAGUGGGUGUGGAGCCCACGCGCUCUGAGGCGGCUGUUGAACCCCUCCGAGGGGCCAGCCUUCGAACCUCUGAUCAGUAGGGAGGCUCGGAGCCUGGUUCCUUCACGGGGAAGGAUCAUUUUCGGGGUAUCCCCCUUUCCCGGUCCCUGUUGUAAGAGAGAGAAAGAGGAAAAGGAAAAAGAUGCGGAAUUUGAACAACGUGGCGUACCUUUUUCGACGCGGUCAUUAUGGCGAAGGCGAAGCGUCGCUCGCUUCCCCUGCCAGAGGCGCCGCCUGUCCCGCCGCGGAGUUAAUGCGACGGGGCGAGUGGUUCGCGGGGCGGCCGUUGCGCGUGCGCGGGCCGUUCGAGGAACGAAACACGGGCGCGUCGUCUUCACGCCGUGAGAGAGGGUUCUCUCGCUGCCCCCGGAUGGGACGUAAGCUUGGCUGACGACGUGACCGCUGCUCCUGCCCGCCUGCCACCGCCAUUACUGCCGGCCCAUUUUUGGCCGCAUUGACCGUCGUGCCAGGCUGGCGCUGCUGGGUCGUGCGCUGGGUCGCCUCGAGUUGCGGUAUUGAUUCCGCAGUCGAGGAGGCGCGGUAGUGGCGCGGGCGGCGGUGCAGUUGCUCGCACGCAGCAUCCGGCGCGCCGGUUGCAUGACGCGUGGGCCUGGGCCUCCAUGCUGGGCGUGUUGGAAGUCGGAGAAGUGCGCCCACUUGGCGCGGUUGCAUGCCGCCUGCGUGGCUACCCGCCCUUUCGCCCGCUGGUCUGGGCAAAAGUGGAGGGCCACUUGUAACCGCUGGGCGGUUGCAUGCACCGCGCGCGGCGGUUUGGCUUCUUCUGCUCUGGGCCGGCUUGCAUGACGUGUGGGACCCAGCCCCCGCACCGUAGGGGGAGGACCUUGGAGCGUGUUGGAGAAGACUCAGCCCACGACGGCUGGGGACGCAAGUAGGGAGAGUCGCCUUUAAAAGGAGGGUGACCCUCUUGAAAGGCGACCAUGUCUUUGCGCUCCCUUAUGCAUCGUGUCUUUCCACCUUCCGAGCCCCCGGAUGGGGGAUGCCCGCAGUCCUUCCGCUUUGUCGUUGGGGGAACGCAACUCCGUGGGAGUUGGUACCUUUCAGCCAUCGUUCAGCUUCAAGGAUUUUCAUCAUGCAGCCCGGCUGCACCCCUCCGCCGGCGGUCACCCAAGAUGGUGACCUCCAGUUCGACGGCGGGGGAAAGCAAGCCGGGCUGCGGCCUCUGCCCCUCCCUCAGCCUCAAGGAUUUUCAUCACCAGGGCUGGGGAGGGGAGUGUGCCGAGUUGGGGUCGGCCCCUGCGUGGGCGGUGGCCCGCUCCUUCCCUCAGUGAUUGGAGGGGAGGGCGGUUGCCGUCCGUGGCGCUGGCAGCUGCCGCGUGCCUGGCUCUCGGACCCGAGUGGCUUCGGAGCCGCUCUCGGCGCCGGCUCCCGCCACGGCAGCUGGAAGAGGUUCUUCCGCCGACGAGAUAGUCGGGGGCGCCUGCGGACCGACCUCCAACUCUACGGCCUUCUGCCCGUCCUUGCCUCACGAGUUUGGGCAUGGGCGGGGGCCUCAUGGCAGCGAGUCAUUGACAAUUUUGCCAUUAUCAUUUGUGGGCUUCGCCAGUAUGCCAUCGGACCCACAAAUCAUAGACACAGACGGUCCCACCAGUCAUAGACACGGGAUGGCAUAAUAACAGGCAGCCAAAAUUGAGAGUGGCAAAAUAGCAAAUUUCUCCAUGGCAGCAGCAUCCGCCCUGAGGUCAUCGCUGCCGCUGUUCGGCCCCCCGGAGCAGAAGUCGUCGUCGUCGCCGCUGCUGGAGCAGGUGACGGCGCGCCGUUCGUCGGUCUUCUGUUGCUCCGCAGGCUCCCCCCCGUCGAGUGGGGCUGUUCGUACCUGCGGAGGUGGAACCGGAGUUCCGUUUGUAAUGGCACUGUGAAUGCCAGUGUUUCUGUUCAUUGUGGCUGUCGAGGCCUGAACAUGUAUGUAAUUUUGGGCACGGAGCCGUGUUUUUCCUCAUUUUCGAGCACUAAGACUCGCCUGUUGGUUGUCUGAACCGCUUCACCAAGCGUGAGUUGCCCCGUGUAAAGGUGACGAGUGAGGUAUCCGUAUCCCGGAGGCGUAGGAGUCCCUCGGCUCGGUCAGCCUUGUCGUCCGAGGCUUCUCUUGCUUAGUUAAAGGAACCCCUCGACCGCUCUUCGAUGAGCCGAGGCCAGGACUAGCGGUGUCAGCACGAACAGAGGCAGAGUUGGCUCGAAAAGAAGACCUGGUCGGCCGGAGCCUGGCCGGGUCGUCUGUUAGCGGGACCGACGCCGGAGUUGAUCUUCCGAGGCCUCGGGCCGGGCUGAUGUCUUCGGGGGACAGCUGGCCGAGGCCUCGGGGUGACCAGCCGAGCCGCCUGCUCGGGCCGGAUUCUCGGAGAAGAUCCUGGCGGCGAUGGCCCGAGCGUGGUGAUGACGUCGUCCUUCAGAGUGGAGAUCCUCGGACCGCGUCGCCGUCCGAGGCCAGGUCGGACCUCGCCGAAGGUGUAGUUGACUCCGAGGGUGCUGCUGCUCCCUUCAACCGUCAAGAUCCGAGCCUGCGGGAUCGGAUCAUCUUGUAGCGUGUGUUUUCUGCGGCCGCCGAGGCCCAAACACACCCUCGCCGUGUUGUAAAGCUGCGUUUCUUUUCCUCUUGUUUCGAGUAUCUGGACUUUUUCGUCGGUAACAUAAUUGUCUAUGUGAGCGAGAGUUGCUUCUCGCGGAAGGUGAUGAGUGAGGUAUCCGUAUCCCGGAGGCGUAGGAGUCCCUCGGCUCGGUCGGCCUUGCCGCUUACGCGCACUCUUACCCGUCCAUAGGGUUCUGUCACCGACGCAGUCGAGAAGGCUCGAAGAAUCGCUUCGGCAGAGGAGCUUUCGAACGUGAAGACUUGUUCGGUCCGCGGAAUCACUUAUCCGAACGUGAGUUACUUAUCGCAGAAGGUGAUGAGUGAGGUAUUCGUAUCCCGGAGGCGUAGGAGUCCCUCGGCUCGGUCAGCCUUGGCUGCUUACGUGUGCUCCGUCGUUUUCGGGAUCCACUUUCGAAGUAGUCGAAAAGCACGAAAGACAUUCUGGCAGAAAGGAUCUUUUUUCGAGGAAAAAAUUCGACGCAGAGGGGGUUCCCCCCUUUUAGCCCCCGAGGGAGGGUCGGGCUUUGCCUAGGCAAGGCUGACCCUUCCUUGAUGACUAAACUUUGCGUGGGAGCGAGGUAUAUGAACAACUUGAAAACAUCUUAAGGGUAGAAGCGACGUAGCUGUUGGAUGUUCCAAGCGUUGCUGUAGACCUCGCCUUGACUGUUGGCCAGCUUAUACGUUCCGGGCUUCAGAACUUUGGCGAUGACGAACGGCCCCUCCCAGGUGGGCGUGAGCUUGUGCCGCCCUCGGGCGUCUUGUCGCAGCCGAAGCACCAGGUCGCCCACCUGGAGGUCUCGGGACCGGACCCCUCGGGCGUGGUAGCGUCGCAGGGACUGCUGGUACCGCGCCGAGUGCAGCAAGGCCUUGUCCCGAGCCUCUUCCAGCUGGUCCAGCGAGUCCCGACGAAUUGGGAGGAAAAAUACACUACGACCACCGGCCUACUGUCCAUAAAUACGCGCGCCCCGACGAAUUGGGAGGAAAAAUACACUACGACCACCACCACCAAGCGAACGAACCAGCGACCGACGCUCCCCGACCAGCGUGGUGAACAGGACAGCAGUCAGCAGCCAAUGGAGGCAGCACUGAUGCAGCAGGCGACACCGACGAGGUGGCGGUGCGUGGGGGACGCGUCGCUGGCUAGCCAUGGCCAGGGCCAGCAGCGAGCAGGCGCCGUCCGGCUCGGAGCGGCGCGGCGUGCGGUCAGCGGGGCUGUCCGGGCUAGCAGCAGCAGGCAUCUGGGCCCCGUGCGGGCGCUCGUCUCCGAGGCCGCCGCCGGCGAGCGGGCGGCGGAGGGCGAGGGAACGGACGCCGUGGUGAGGCUGUUCGUGGGCCUCCCCGCGGACGCGGUGGUCUCCGACGGCCGCGGCGUGGGCCGCCCCAGGGCCGUCUCGGCGGCGCUGCGCGCGCUCAAGCUGCUCGGCGUCGACGGCGUGGAGCUGCCGGUGUCCUGGGCCGUCGCGCAGCCCGGGCCCGGGGGCUGGUUCGAGUGGGCCGGGUACCGCGCCGUCGCCGCCAUGGUCCGCGACGCGGGGCUCGACCUCCGCGUCUCGCUCCGCACCGACGGCGACGCGCUCCCCGGAUGGGUGGCCAACGCGGCGGCCGCCGACCCCGACGUCCUCUUCACCGACCGCUCCGGCCACCGCCGCGUGGGCUGCCUCUCCUUUGCCGUCGAUGAGCUCCCCGUGCUCGUCGGCAAGUCGCCGCUCCAGGCCUACGAGGCCUUCUUCCGCAGCUUCGCUGAAGAGUUCAAUGACUUGUUCGGGUCAACGAUCACAGUAAGAGGAGCCCUGGUCCAGGAGGAGAACACACUUAAAAUCUUUUUUGCGUUCUUUUAAUUUGGGAAACUGAAUCUUCUCUCUUUGGUUCGUUCAUUCAUGGCACAGGAUGUGACUGUCAGCCUGGGUCCUAACGGCGAGCUACAGUACCCGUCAUAUCCGUCGGGGAACCAGGGCUCCCGUGGCUUCGACGGCGUCGGCGAGUUCCAGUGCUAUGACAAGUACAUGCUGGCACGGCUGAAGCGUCACGCCGAGUCGUCGGGGCAGCCACUGUGGGGCCUGUCGGGUCCACACGACGGACCGCGGUACGACGACGAGUCGCCGGAGUCGUCCGCUUUCUUCAGAGAGCUGGGGGGCUCGUGGAAGUCGGCCUACGGGGAGUUCUUCCUGUCCUGGUACACCGGGGAGCUCCUGGCGCACGGCGACCGCGUCCUGGCCGCGGCGUCCAGCGCGUUCCGCGGCAAGCCCGUGGAGCUGUCCGCCAAGGUGCCACUCCUGCGAGGGCCGGGGACGGGCCCGAGCCCCGCGGACGCCACCGCGGGAUUCCACGGCGGGUACGGCCCGGUCGCCGAGAUGUUCGCGCGCCACAGUUGCGCGGUGAUCGCGGCCGGCGUGGAGGCGCGGCCGGACGCCACGGCGGAGGAGCGCCUGGCCCAGGUCAAGGCCGCCUGCACGGAGCACGGCGUGCAUCUCGCGGCGGAGAGCGCGCCUCUCGCCGUGGCGCGCGGCAGCGACGGCGACGGCCCCGCGCGCGUCGUCUGGCUGUCCGCCGGGCGCACCCGGCCGUGCCAGUUCACGUACCAGCGGAUGGGCGCAGAGUUCUUCUCGCCGGGCCACUGGCCGCUGUUCGUGCAGUUCGUGCGCGCGCUGGAGUGCCCCGAGGAGGCCCAUGAGGACGACCUGCCAGCCAGCGCUGACGGCGGCGAGCGGCUCACUGUGCCGUCCGCGGCCGCGGCGGCCCCAAAGGACCAAGCGACAAGGGAGGUGCAAACCGUGUGAAUGGCAAAUCAUUUGUCGCGCAUUCUUAAUGUACAGUACUUCCUCCGUUGUUUAGUUCAAAAUAAACGGGCGGGUGAUAAAUAUUCGAGAAUGGAGAUGGUAUAUAGAGCAUCUCUAACCUUUAUGUAAAAAGUUCCUAAAUCUUAGUUUAAUGAGUUAUUAGAAAAAAGACAAGUCUCCGAUAGUACCCUAAACGAUAUUGCUAAAUUUAAGAAGUUGUUAUUUAUCUUUUCUUGUUCCCACAUUUGGUAACCUUAGAGCAUCUCUAAUAGUUAUGUAAAUUGAGCACCCCAAAUUAUAGAUUUAAGAAGUUGCUAAAACACUUUAUGGAGUAGAAAAAUAUAUGUGCUCAAAUAGUUCCCUAUUUUAUUGGUUUUAAUUUUUAAAGUUGCCUACGCCAACAAAAAAUAAGCGAGCAUGCUUUCUAUUUUGAUUGAGCUUGCAUUAGAAAUCAAAUAUCAACAACCUUCUCUAAUGUCUUGAGAGGUCAAUAAUUUUUAAAGUUGCCUACGCCAACAAAAAAUAAGCGAGCAUGCUUUCUAUUUUGAUUGAGCUUGCAGUAGAAAUCAAAUAUCAACAACCUUCUCUAAUGUCUUGAGAGGUCAAAGUUAUCGUGGAAGACCAAACGAUCGUGGCGAUGGCGUGAAGACAUCGCAUGAUGUGCUCUGACGAUGCCUCGGUAUACGAGGUUGUCUAGCCGUGGCGUCAUCAAGACAUCUGGGCACUGGAGAUGGAUUUGUGGUCAACAAGACAUUAGGACAGUGCAAAAUAGUGACAAAAAGUAUGAUUUUCACGAUGGAUUUAGUACCAAUGUUGAUUUAGGGAGUCCCAACAAGGUUGGUAAAUGUAAAGAUGAAAUUGGGUUUUGUAGAGAGUUUGUAAAUUUAGUGAACUGGUUUACAUAACUGUUGGAGAAGAGUUUUUCUCGAAAACUUGUAAAAUUCAUAUUUAGGGACUUGUUUCCAUAACUAUUGGAGAUGCUCUUAAAGGGACUCCUCAAAGCAUUUUCUGUUGUUAUUCUAUUUUAUUUUUAAUUAAUAAACUCUGGGCUAUUAUGUGGAAAAUAAUUUUGCUGUAUGUUAGACUUUUUUAUUUCUGCAGUUUGCAAUUUUAGUCAUAUUUAGAAUCGACUAAUCGUUAGAGAUUCUGUGUAUACGUAGACUUUAGAACCAUUGCAAAAACAAUAUCAUAUUUUAUGGGAAGAACAUAAAAUUUUCUAGAAUGUGCGAGGGAGAGGAGUUUCUAACUGAUAUAAUUUGAAAUAUUUGGCAGCUAAAAUAAAGAACUAUUGGAGAACAUAUAUUUACAUAUAUUUUUUUACUCUCUACUAUUAUUUAGUAACUUCUUAUAUCUAUCUUAAGACUGACCGCAGCGGUUGACCCUAUCCCUCCCCCUCCCCUUGCAUGUCGGCUGUAGGGGGCACCCUAUGGCCGCAGCGGUGCCCCCUACAGCGCCCCCUACGUGUCGGUCCCCUUCUCUCUCCCCCCAGAUCCAGCGUGUCACUGUUCAUCACCCUAAACACUGUGCUGUGGGUCCACGAGUAAUUGUUAGUAGAUAAAAAAUUGAUAGUUGGUAUAGAAAAUGAUAUUUUAUAGUGGUAGUGGGGUAUAGGGGGAGUAUUUAGGGGGAACCGCUGCGGGAGAUGAAAAAAUAGGGGGGAAAAUAGGGGGGGAAAGUGAUAUAGGGGGGAAAUAGGGGGUACCGCGCCGAGUGCAGCAAGGCCUUGUCCCGAGCCUCUUCCAGCUGGUCCAGCGAGUCUUCUCGAUUAACUUGGUUGCUUUGGUCAGCAUAGGCCCUCGUCCUCGGGGAACCGUAUUCUAAGUCUGUGGGCAAGAUGGCCUCGGCCCCAUAGACUAGAAAGAACGGCGUGAAGCCCGUGGCCCGGCUCGGCGUUGUCCUCAGGCUCCAGACCGCUGAGGGGAGUUCCUUCAUCCAUCGCUUGCCGAACUUGUUGAGGUCGUUGUAGAUCCGAGGCUUGAGUCCUUGUAGAAUCAUGCCGUUGGCACGCUCUACUUGCCCAUUCGACAUGGGGUGAGCCACGGCGGCCCAGUCCACCCGGAUGUGGUGAUCCUCGCAGAAGUCCAGGAACUUUCUGCCGGUGAACUGGGUGCCGUUGUUGGUGAUGAUGGAGUUCGGGACCCCGAAGCGAUGGAUGAUGUUGGUGAAGAACGCCACCGCCUGCUCGGACCUGAUGCUGUUUAGGGGUCGGACCUCGAUCCACUUGGAGAAUUUGUUGAUGGCGACCAACAGGUGCGUGUAGCCCCUGGGUGCCUUCUGCAAGGGGCCGACGAGGUCCAGACCCCACACAGCAAAAGGCCAGGUGAUGGGUAUCGUUUGCAGAGCCUGGGCAGGCAGGUGGGUCUGCCUCGCGUAGAACUGACACCCUUCACAGGUGCGGACAAUUCUAGUGGCGUCGGCCACCGCCGUCGGCCAGUAGAAUCCUUGCCGGAAAGCGUUUCCGACAAGGGCUCGAGGCGCUGCGUGAUGGCCGCAAGCCCCCGAGUGUAUCUCUCGUAGGAGUUCCUGACCUUCGGUGAUGGAGAUGCAUCGCUGGAGGAUGCCCGAGGGGCUGCGGUGGUAGAGCUCCUUCCCAUCUCCCAGCAAGACGAACGACUUGGCGCGUCGCGCCAACCGCCGAGCCUCGGCUCGGUCGAGGGGUAACUCUCCUCGGUGGAGAUAUUGCAGGUACGGGGUCUGCCAGUUUUGAUUAGGCGUGACCCCGCUUCGCUCCUCCUCGACGCGCAGUGCCUCACCCUCAGGGGCCGUGGGUGCCUCGGGCUGAACCGAGGGCGCCUCGGGCCGAGCUGAGGGUGCCUCGGGCCGUGCCGAGGAUGCCUCGGACUGGGCCGAGGGUGCCUCGGGCUCGGGCGUGUCGUCGAUCUUGAUGGAGGGUUGAUGCAGGUCUCGGGAGAAGACGUCUCGGGGAACCGUUGUUCGCCCCGAGGCUAUUUUAGCCAGCUUAUUCGCAGUCUCGUUGUAGCGCCGGGCGAUGUGGUUGAGCUCGAGCCCGUAGAACUUGUCUUCCAGGCGCCGAACCUCAUCGCAGUAGGCCUCCAUCUUUGGGUCGCGGCAGUGGGAGUUCUUCAUGACUUGGUCGAUGACGAGCUGCGAGUCACCGCGAGCGUCGAGGCGUCGGACCCCUAGCUCGAUGGUGAUCCGCAACCCGUUGACCAGAGCCUCGUACUCAGCCACAUUGUUGGACGCCGGGAAAUGGAGGCGUAGCACAUAGCGUAGGUGCUUCCCGAGGGGCGAGAUGAAGAGUAGGCCUGCGCCGGCUCCUGUCUUCGUCAACGACCCGUCGAAGAACAUGGUCCAGAGCUCCGGUUGGAUCGGAGCUGUUGGGAGCUGGGUGUCGACCCAUUCAGCCACGAAGUCCGCCAAGACCUGGGACUUGAUGGCCUUCCGAGGGGCGAACGAGAUUGCUUCGCCCAUGAUUUCCACCGCCCACUUUGCGAUUCUACCCGAGGCCUCUCGGCACUGGAUGAUCUCCCCCAGGGGGAAGGAUGACACCACAGUUACCGGAUGAGACUCGAAGUAGUGUCGCAGCUUCCGCCGCGUCAGGAUCACCGCGUACAGCAGCUUCUGAACUUGUGGGUAGAGGAUCUUGGUUUCGGACAGUACCUCGCUGACAAAGUAGACUGGCCUCUGAACGGGCAAUGCAUGCCCCUCUUCUUGCCUCUCGACCACAAUCGCGGCGCUAACCACCUGAGUGGUUGCGGCGACGUAGAUCAGGAGGGCUUCUCCGGCAGCUAGGGGCACCAAGAUAGGCGCAUUCGUGAGGAGCGCCUUCAGGUUCCCGAGGGCUUCCUCGGCCUCAGGGGUCCAAGUGAAGCACUCGGCCUUCCUUAAGAGGCGGUACAGAGGCAGACCUCUUUCGCCGAGGCGUGAGAUGAAGCGGCUUAGAGCCGCGAGACAUCCCAUGACCCUCUGUACGCCUUUUAAGUCUUUGAUGGGCCCCAUGCUGGUGAUGGCUGCGAUCUUCUCCGGGUUGGCUUCGAUGCCCCGCUCGGAGACGAUGAACCCCAAGAGCAUGCCUCGGGGCACCCCGAAGACACACUUUUCGGGAUUGAGCUUCACGCCUUUCGCCUUGAGACAUCGGAAUGUCACUUCAAGGUCGGAAAGGAGGUCGGAGGCCUUCCUCGUCUUGACUACGAUGUCAUCGAUGUAGGCCUCGACCGUCCGGCCAAUGUGUUCGCCGAACACAUGGUUCAUGCACCGCUGAUACGUCGCGCCCGCGUUCCUCAAGCCGAACGACAUGGUGACAUAGCAGUACAUGCCGAAGGGCGUGAUGAAAGAAGUCGCGAGCUGGUCGGACUCCUUCAUCCUGAUUUGGUGAUACUCGGAGUAUGCAUCGAGGAAAGACAGAGUUUCGUACCCAGCAGUGGAAUCCACGAUUUGAUCGAUGCGAGGCAGAGGGUAGGGAACCUUCGGACAUGCUUUGUUUAGACCAGUGUAGUCUACACACAUCCGCCAUUUCCCUCCUUUCUUUCUCACAAGCACAGGGUUGGCAAGCCAUACGGGAUGGAAUACCUCUUUGAUGAACCCUGCCGCCAUUAGCUUGUGGAUCUCCUCGCCUAUGGCCCUGCGCUUUUCUUCGUCGAAUCGGCGCAGAGGCUGCUUGACGGGUCGGGCUCCGGCUCGGAUGUCCAGCGAGUGCUCGGCGACAUCCCUCGGUAUGCCAGGCAUGUCCGAGGGACUCCACGCGAAGACGUCGGCAUUCGCGCGGAGAAAGUCGACGAGCACUGCUUCCUAUUUGGGAUCGAGCUCGGAGCCGAUCCGGAUCUGCUUGUAGGCGUCGCUGCUGGGGUCGAGGGGGACGGACUUAACCGUCUCCGCUGGCUCGAAGUUGCCGGCGUGACGCUUCAUGUCUGGCACCUCCUUAGAGAGGCUCUCCAGGUCGGCGAUGAGGGCCUCGGACUCGGCGAGGGCCUCGGCGUACUCCACGCACUCCACGUCGCAUUCGAACGCGUGUUUGUACGUGUGGCCGACGGUGAUGACCCCGUUGGGGCCCGACAUCUUGAGCUUGAGGUAGGUGUAGUUGGGGACGGCCAUGAACUUCGCGUAGCAUGGCCUUCCCAGUACCGCAUGGUAGGUUCCUCGGAACCCGACCACCUCGAACGCCAGGGUCUCCCUUCGGAAGUUGGAGGGCGUUCCGAAGCAGACGGGAAGGUCGAGUUGUCCGAUGGGCUGGACGCGCUUCCCGGGGAUGAUCCCAUGGAAUGGCGCAGCGCCUGCCCGGACCGAGGACAGAUCGACACGCAAGAGCCAGAGGGUCUCGGCGUAGAUGAUGUUGAGGCUGCUGCCUUCGUCCAUGAGGACUUUGGUGAGCCUGACGUCGCCGAUGACGGGGUCGACAACGAGCGAGUAUUUCCCCGGGCUCGGCACGUGGUCGCGGUGGUCGGCUUGGUCGAAAGUGAUGGGCUUGUCGGACCAGUCUAGGUAGACUGGCGCCGCCACCUUCACCGAACAGACCUCCCGACGCUCUUGCUUGCGGUGCUGAGCCGAGGCGUUCGCCGCUUGCCCACCGUAGAUCAUGAAGCAGUCGCGGACCUCGGGGAACUCUCCUGCCUGGUGAUCUUCCUUCUUGUCGUCGUCGCGAGCCCUGCCACCCUCCGCGGGUGGCCCGGCCCUGUGGAAGUGACGCCGAAGCAUGGCGCACUCCUCAAGGGUGUGCUUGACGGGCCCCUGGUGAUAGGGGCACGACUCCUUGAGCAUCUUGUCGAAAAGGUUGGCACCUUUGGGGGGUUUCCGAGGGUUCUUGUACUCGGCGGCGGCGACAAGGUCCGCGUCGGCGGCGUCACGUUUCGCUCGCGACUUCUUGCCCUUCUUCUUGGCGCCGCGUUGAGUUGACGCCUCGGGGGCAUCUUCCGGUGGGCGGCCCUGGGGCUGCUUGUCCUUCCGGAAGAUAGCCUCGACCGCCUCCUGGCCAGAGGCGAACUUGGUGGCGAUGUCCAUCAGCUCGCUCGCCCUGGUGGGGGUCUUGCGACCCAGCUUGCACACCAGGUCGCGGCAGGUGGUGCCGGCGAGGAACGCGCCGAUGACAUCCGAGUCGGUGAUGUUGGGCAGCUCGGUGCGCUGCUUCGAGAAUCGCCGGAUGUAGUCCCGGAGAGACUCUCCCGACUGCUGUCGGCAGCUUCAGAGGUCCCAGGAAUUCCCAGGGCGCACGUACGUGCCCUGGAAAUUGCCGGCGAAGGCUUGGACUAGGUCGUCCCAGUUGGAGAUCUGCCCCGGAGGCAGGUGCUCCAACCAGGCGCGAGCGGUGUCGGAGAGGAACAGGGGGAGGUUGCGGAUGAUGAGGUUGUCAUCGUCCGUUCCACCCAGUUGGCAGGCCAGCCGGUAGUCCGCGAGCCACAGCUCCGGUCUCGUCUCCCCCGAGUACUUUGUGAUAGUAGCCGGGGGUUGGAACCGGGUCGGGAACGGCGCCCGUCGUAUGGCCCGGCUGAAGGCCUGCGGACCGGGUGGUUCGGGCGAGGGACUCCGAUCCUCCCCGCUGUCGUAGCGUCUCCCACGCCUGGGGUGGUAGCCUCGGCGCACCCUCUCGUCGAGGCGGGCCCGACGGUCGUGGUGAUGGUGCUCGUUGCCGAGGCGUCCCGGGGCCGCAGGCGCUGUGUUGCGCGUGCGCCCGGUGUAGACCGAGGCUUCCCGCAUGAAUCGGGAAGUCGCGGCACGAUGUUCCGAGGGGUGCCCCUGCCUUCGGGAGGCGGAGCUUUCGGCCUGCCGGACCGCGGCGCCCUCCAGGAGAUUCUUGAGUUCUCCCUAGAUUCGCCGCCCCUCGGUGGUUGAUGGCUCUGGCAUCGCACGGAGAAGCAUUGCUGCUGCAGCCAGGUUCUGGCCGACCCCACUGGAAGCGGGUGGCGGCCUCAUCCUGGCAUCGUCAGCGAUGCGGUGCUGGAAGCCCUGGGGUAGAUGACGCAUUUCUCCGGCCGGAGGUUGGCCCGCCCAUUCCUGUCCGACGUCCCGGCGUAUCGGCUCAAGCGCUCCUGCUCCCUCGUCGAGCCUAGCCUGCACCCCGCGGACUUGCUCGAGCUGUGGGUCAUGGCCCCCCGCCUGAACGGGGACCACAGCUAGCUCCUGUAGGAUGUCAACGCGAGGCACCGGCCUACGGAGAUCACCGUCCUCCGGCAUACCGAGAUGGUUGCCUUCGGAGGGACCCCCUAGAUCGACGUGGAAACAUUCGCGGCUUGGGCCGCAGUCCUCGUCGCCGAGGCUGCGGCUUCCGUCGGAACAGUCGGAAAGGCAGUAAUCGCAUGCGGUCAUGAAGUCCCGCAUGGCACUGGGGUUACCAAGUCCGGAGAAAUCCCAACAGACAUCGGGCUCGUCAUCUUCCUCGGACCCCGAGGGCCCGUAGGUCGAGACGUCCGUCAGCCGGUCCCAGGGUGACCGCAUACGAUACCCCAGAGGGUUUGGACUCGCCUCUACGAGUGCGUCCGCCAAAGCAAAGCCGCUUGGCGGGUCGAGGCUGAAUCCAAAGGGCGUGAGAUGGGAAUCGGUCGGUACCUCUUGGUCGACGGGCGGUGAUGAAGUCACGUCGGGAACUGACUGCACCGUCGUCUCAGGUACGAGGGUGACAUCCAGCAAGCCUUUCGCGAGCGUGCUGGCGUCGUCCGUUUGCUCGGAAUCGGCGUGUUGCGGGGAGACGGCGCUCGUCUUCGUCUCAAACGCGAGGUCGAUGCCCGACGCGCCCCCCGUUGGGGCGCUGGCGCCGUCGACUCGCUCGACAGCCGACGAGGCGCUGCCUCCUGCUUGGCCUUGGUUGCCCCGCCUCCUCCUCCGUCGGCGGGGGAGAGGACGGGGUGAGCUCGAAUGUUGUUCUUCCACCACGCGGGGAAGACGUCGUCGAUUCCGCCGCCGGCGGGCGGGCUGUCGGCCGCCAUUGUUGCUGUCGCACGGCGGGGGAAGGAGUAUCAUGUCGUAGCUGCCGUCGAGGGACAUGAACUCAAGACUCCCGAAACGGAGCACCGUCCCGGGCCGGAGAGGUUGCUGGAGACUGCCUAUCUGGAGCUUGACGGGAAGCUGUUCGUCAACACGCAGCAGGCCCCUACCUGGCGCGCCAACUGUCGGCGUUUCGAGACCAGGGGUACCUGGGUCGACGAGUGAAAUGUCGCUGCGUGCCCCAGCCCAGAUGGGUCGGCGCGAGGCCUAGCGCGAAGGGGGGAGAAAGGUGGCCGGAGACAGGCGUGAGAGAGGUGGAAAUCCCACGGCCUUCGUGUUCGUCCCGCACCCAGGUCGGGUGCGCUUGCAGUAGGGGAUUACAAGCGUCCACGCGGGAGAGGGAGCGAGCGGCUUCAAACGAGCGUCUGUCUCGUCCUCGUCCCCGCGCGGCCAACCAUCUGUAAGAGGGCCCUGGUCCUUCCUUUUAUAGGCGUAAGGAGAGGAUCCAGGUGUACAAUGGGGGGUGUAGCAGAGUGCUACGUGUCUAGCGGAGGAGAGCUAGCACCCUAAGUACAUGCCGUCGUGGCAGCCGGAGAGGUUUUGGCACCCGGUUCGUGUGGUGUCGUGGCCGUCGAAGGAGCGCUGGAGCCUGGCGGAAGGACAGCUGUCGGGGCUGUCGAGUCCUUGCUGACGUCCUCUUGCUUUCGUAAGGGGGCGGAGAGCCGCCGUCGUCACGGAGCGUGCGGGGCGCCAUCAUUGCCUAUCUGGCGGAGCGAGCCAGAUGGGACGCCGGUCUUGUUCCCCGUAGCCUGAGUCAGCUUGGGGUAGGGUAAUGAUUGCGCUUCCUGUCGACGUGGUCGGUCCGCGCCCUAGGUUGGGCGAUGUGGAGGCUCCUCCGAGGUCGAGGUCGAGUCCGAGCCCCUGGGUCGGGCGAGGCGGAGACCGUCGGCUGAGGCCAGGGCUGAGUCCGAGCCCUGGGGUCGGGCGAAGCGGAGUUCGUCGUCUUCUGGGGCUGAGCCCAAGUCCGAGCCCUGGGUCGGGCGGAGCGGAGUUCACCGUCUUCAGGGGCCUAGCCCGAGUCCGAGCCCUGGGUCGGGCGGAGCGGAGUUCGUCGUCUUCUGGGGCUGAGCCCAAGUCCGAGCCCUGGGUCGGGCGGAGCGGAGUUCGCCGUCUUCAGGGGCCUAGCCUGAGUCCGAGCCCUGGGUCGGGCGGAGCGGAGUUCGCCGUCUUCCGGGGCUUAGCCCGAGUCCGAGCCCUGGGUCGGGCAGAGCGAAGUUCGCCGUCUUCCGGGGCUUAGCCCGAGUCCGAGCCCUGGGUCGGGCGGAGCGGAGUUCGCCGUCUUCCGGGGCUUAGCCCGAGUCCGAGCCCUGGGUCGGGCGGAGCGGAGUUUCCAAUGGGGCCUGAGGUCGGGCCUGACUGCCUGUCAGCCUCACUCUGUCAAGUGGCACCGCAGUCGGUGCGGCGCAGGCGGCGCUGUCCUUCUGUCAGGUCGGUCAGUGGAGCGGCGAAGUGACUGCGGUCACUUCGGCUCUGUCGACUGAAGGGCGCGCGUCAGGAUAAAGGUGUCAGGCCGCCUUUGCAUUAAAUGUUCAUACGAUUUGGUCGGUCGGCGCGGCGAUUCGGUCAGGGUUGCUUCUUGGCGAAGACAGGGCCUCGGGCGAGCCGGAAAUGUAUUCGUUGCUGGAGGGGGGCCUCGGGCGAGACGGAGAUCCUCCGGGGUCGGCUGCCCUUGCCCGAGGCUAGGCUCGGGCGAGGCGUGAUCGAGUCCCUCGAAUGGACCGAUCCCUGACUUAAUCGCACCCAUCAGGCCUUUGCAGCUUUGUGCUGAUGGGGGUUACCAGCUGAGAACUAGGAGCCUUGAGGGUACCCCUAAUUAUGGUCCCCGACGAUAAUUUUAAUUAGUCAUUAUAUGACGACAUUUGAAGCAAGAGAGUUAUAAGUGAAAUGUAGCUAUCAUAUGUAGACUUCGGAGACUGAAUGUCGGUCUGUGAAGGUUCAUUUGCACCAGCAUAUUUGUGACUCCUCUGUUUCCUAUUUCUUUUUUUGGUACCGUUUAGUGGGCACUUAUAACUUGUUUGUCUGUGACCAAGCUCUCCACAUUUUUUGCAUCGUAUAGGGCCUCUUUUCAUUUGCCUACCACCUUCUUUAUUGGUUGUCUUAGGUUUACUCCCACCUUACAGACAACCUUUCAUUCGUAAUUUCCUUUGCCUACCAACACCUCGUUUUGCUAAAGGUCCUUUUACAACAAGGUCCAUAUCAACUUGAGGCCACUGUGAACGAUCCCUUAUAGGAUAGAUGACUCUACAAUAUGCUUUUCUAAACUUUUGUACUGAAUAAAAUUCAUGCACAUAGUUUUCGAUCCUUUCACUUUUAAAACUAGUGAUGACAACUAUGGCAUGGUCACAAGGCUUCCCAGUGUGCUGACACUCCAGACAUGAGCACUCUUGCGCUCCUAGAUCAACAAUAUGUCUUUCUUGUUUGGGGCUAUUAUCAAACACCUCAGCAUGACCAUUUCCAGCAUUUACAACUUUUAAAUGACCAAGUCCUCUAGACCUUAUAUUCAAUUGAUGUACUAUAGCUGGCAAGAUAGUUCCACAAAGUUUGCCUCCAAUUCUCCUCCUUUUCUCCCAUAGGACCAUAAUAAACUCUCUAAUCUUGUCUGCUAGUUGAACUACUGGCAGGUCUUUGUGGUCUUUGACCCAGUUGUUGAAACACUCUGCUAAAUUGUUGUUGAUGUAGUCGCAUUUGAUAUCUGGAUCAAAAGUACUCCUCAUCCACUUGAACUUGUGAUCUCUAUUUAGCCAGGUAAUGACUUCAGGGUCAGAAUGCAAAAUGGGCCCAAUAUGUCUAUCAAAUUCAGCUUGUCUAUAUGCUCUUGCAGCAGGAUACAUUCCUCUGUAACUAUUUCCAUAGAAUCUUUGGUGAAAUUUUGCAUCAGAUGUCUGAAACAUUCUCUCUUAUCAGCUUGUGGGAAAACUAGUUCCACAGCAGUCAUCAAACCCUUGCCGGCAUCAUUACAAAUAGCUAGUUUCUCCAUAUUCCCUAUGGCCCUUCGAAGCUAUGUCAUAAACCAAACCCAAUUAUCCUUGCUCUCAGAAUCCAUGAACCCAAACACAACCGGGUACAUCCAUUUGUGUCCAUCUAACGCUGUUGCAGCUGUUAGGUGACCAUUCCAUCUACCAUUGAGUGCAGUUGAAUCCACACUUAGGUAAGGCCUACACGCAGCACGAAACCCUUCUAUACAAGGUUCAAGUGCACAGAAAAAUAUAUGGAAGUACACCUUUUCAUCUACAACUUGGGUGUCUAUCUCCACCACUCUAUUAGGGGCUUUUAUCAAAAUUUCUUUCUUCCACCUAUACAACAUAAUGAAACUAUCAUCCCAAUUGCCAUACAUCUCUUUUAAAGCUUCCUGCAUUCUUUUCCAAGUCACAUCAUAACUGACCCUACAGUUGUAAGUGUCUUGUAACCUCUUUUGCAAAGCCUUAGCACCAAGUGAAGGCUCAUUUCUUAGUAAAGGCAAAGCCUUCUGAGCUACCCAAGCUUGAUUGGCAUUCCCAUAACUUAUCCGGUUGCUUGAAGCACAUUUAUGCUCAUUCACUAAGACGAUGACUUUCAAAACAAAAUAACGAUGUAAGUAACACCAACUUAUGUGAACUAAAUUAUACAAUUGGUGAGAAACAGAAGAAAAGGUUAGUACCAUAACACUAGAGUCCGGUCUUGUAGAACCAUUCAGUUUCCAAGGGCAUGUGCAAUCAUUCCCUUUGCAGUACACUCUAUAUCUAUUUCUAUCCGACUUUCUUAUUCCAAGCUCAAACUCCUCAUUUAUAGCAUAUUGCCUCACAGCUAGUCUAAACUCUUUCAUCGAUGGAUAUAGAGUACCCAACUUUAGAUUAGGGUGAUCAACAUCGUGCAAUAUAUUGACCAUUUCUGCAUUUUCAUCAUCAACUGGCAUGGCAGCAUCUAGAUCACUUGGAUCAAAACUGUUACUUUCCGAUGUAAAAUGAGAUGCAAAGUUACUUGGUUUCGGGUGGGUUCGAUUCAUCUCCUCAUCCUUAUCUCCAAGUCCCAAGAACGCAUACAUCUCAUCCUCAUCACAGAUUCUAAACAUAUCACCCUGAUCCCCAUUAUCCUUAUUUUCAACAUUCUCAAUAAUAAAGCUACUCCAGUCAAUAGACAUGGUGUCAUCAUCAUUACCAUCCAUGAUGCGAGCACGCAAUUGUCACCACCUAUUUCUAGUGUUAGCACAAAUUAUUACACAUAAUGAUGAAACAAAUGCUGCAAAAUAAGGUGCUGCCACAAGAGCUGCGACAGAGGGGAGGGGAUAGGUUACCUGCAGAAGGAAGUGGCGCGACAUGAUCCUAUCACAGGCUUGGACGACCCCCUAUUUCCACCAGCUCGACGCCGGCUCACAUCCGACUGUGUAGGAAGAGAAAAGGUUACAGAGUGUAGGGAAAGGGCAGGGGAAAGGAUACAGAGGGAAAUGGGAAGAUCAUCUAAAAAGAGGAGAAGGUCGUCGUCAACGUCGCCGAUGUGCCGCAGCGAAGAAAUGGUUCGCCGUUGAGUGCGGCCGCGUCGUCCAGAGAAGGAGGCAGAGAAGAGAAGAAAGGGAAAUGGAGGAAGAAGACAGGAGGAGACGGCGUUGCGUUCAGGCGUAAGGGCAAAAGCGGCACAUAACGACGCGGGCCCACCUGCCAGAAACGCCAAAAACCCUCCUGACCCGUUUUGAAGAGCAACGAUGUUUGAGUGACCCGUUUUGACGACCCAGCCUCGAAACGGUGUAUUUCGCAGAGCGGCAACCUAGAGUGACCUAUUUUGCCAAAUUCCUCGCUGACGAAGGGCGAUGAUGUCUACCUUUUCUGAAUGCAUGCCGAGCUAACCCUCUCCUGUCUUUAAGCACAUUUAAUCAUCCCUUUUUGUUUGUGGUUCUGCCUAGGAAGGUCAUAUGGAUAUGUGUGACAACCAGUGCAGCCACUUACAUUAGGAUCGUAAAUUAUGCAGCAAGAGAAGUUAGUGCUUGGUUUUUAUGAUCGAGCAAAGGUGAUGCUGAGCCCACUUCUUUUCUCUUUCCAUCUUUUCGACUAUUCUCUGCUUCGAAGUUUUCCAAUCAAGAAGUUUUGCUUACAUGCUGAUGCGAGAACAUGGCAUUAGGGAUAUUUUGAUGUUGAAAUUGAAGUUGUCUUACCAUGUGGCAGCAGCCAGCAUCAUCAUCAAAGAAGAAUAAUGAUUUCCUUGUUCUAAGAUUAAACUCAGUUGUCAAUCAAAUCCAAAUCUUUCUCCCACCGAUUAAGUUAGUUGUCUAUUAGAGCAUCUGCAACAGCGUGACCUAUAAAAAUAUCCUAUAAUUUAAAAAUGAGUAAAUUUUAUUGAAUUUAGGGCACCAAAAAAUAUUAUGCUCCAACAGUAAAGCCCCAAAUAUAUUAUAGGGCAGCCCACUAUGGUGUAGUAUAUUUGAGGUACUUGAGAGAGUGCCCUAUAAUUUUUUGAUCGAAUUUAUAAAAUGAGGCAUUGUUGUGGUAGUUUUUGUUGUGUAGAGCUCUAUAUUUCAAUUUGAGGCACCAGUUUGAGGUAUUGUUGGAGAUGCUCUUAGAGUGUUGCAUUUGCAUUUCUCUCUGCUAUGGGCCCCCUUUGGGAUGCACAUCCCCCCUGCUUUUCAUAUGAAUUUGAACUGAUAGUGUCAUGUACGGCCACACAUACGCCAGGCGUAGGAGAGCCUGCGAUGUGCGCCGAGCUGAGCAGGCAGCAAAGGCACAUGCGCAGCAGGUGAGUGACUAGGAUGGAAAGUAGCCAUCUGAUUGAUUGCGCAUGCAGCAAACAUAGAAGGCGACCACCUGAUUGAUUGUGCAUGCAGCAAACAUAGAAGGAGAUUGGCUAGGAGAGAAAGUAGCUAGCUGAUUAGUAUCCUUCCUAUUUUGAUUAGAUCUUCAAUCAAGGAGAACCUUCUCCAUUUGUGUAAGCCGCCGGCUAUAUAUAGCCAUGUAUGGUGGCACUUGAGAAUCAAUCAAGAAUUACCUAUCAAGUCUCUUCCUCUCUUCUCUAAACCGGCGACCAGGAGAACUUCUUCUGUCGACGGGUAGCUCGGCGUGGGGGCAUAACCCUGCCGGCAACCACGGGUCAAGGCUACGAUCUACGUAGCCGAGGUCCUCCUACCUUGGGCAAUACCACCCUUGACAGAUAGGGAAUACAGUAAUAUUGCAGAAAUCAGUUCUUUUUCGCAGGAGAUAUGUAGGAUUCAAGAAAAAGCCCUGCAUUGCAAGGGGGCCUGAAAUUCCUACUAGUUUCCUGUGAAAUUCCUGCAUUCCAAAGAGGCCCUAAUGCAAGCAAGCUAGGAUUACUGGUCCCUCUUGGACCUGUGCUUCCUGGUGCCAUCCUUGCUGCUCCAUCAUGUUGGCUUUUAUGCAGCUGAGCAGAUGGGGAUGCUUGGGAACCAUGGAGUGGGUUUGCUGUGGCUUCUGGUUGGGGUUUGAUUUGGUGAUGUGAGAUCUAGCCUGUGAUUGAUGGUCUCUUUAAUUGUUUGAUUGUAAAUUUAUAUCCUCCUUUGAGCCCCUUUCCUACCUCGCUCCCUCCCACUGUUCGUCUAAAUGGUUGUUUAGCCUGUUUAAAUACUGGUUAAAUGCUACACGUUAGUAUGGCGUUUCGGUUUAAUCGGCCAUUUAUCCCAUUUAGAUGGCUGUUUUGUCCAUUUAAGUGGCUGUUUAGGGUAAAACUGUUUUCAUAUGUAUCUAUACCCUUGAGAAUGUGAGGAUGCCAUGUGUACAUGGGGUUGGAUCUACAGCCCUGUUUAGCAAAGCUCUAGUUCUAUGGAAACCACAUGUGCAUUGUCUGGUGCAGCAUCUGUGUCCAGAAGUGAGAUUUGAACUUUUUACAAUGACAAAUAGUUAUUUUGUUUGCUGAAUUUGGAAUUUACAGGCCUCAUUGUCAUUGCCAUUAGCUUGACCAUUUUUUUGGCUGUUUUUUUGGAAUUGGACAGAAUCUGCAUAUUUGUCUGUUGGGAUGACAUUGACAAGUAUGCUUGUUCAGCCCUCUUUCUCCCCAUCCAUCUGCAGCUUCAACACUGUAUUCCAUCCAUUUUACUCCCUGGUCUAGCCUCAGAGAUAUGAGCAAUCAGAUUUAUAUACCUUUACUAAUAGUUCUUAUUCAGCAUAUGGCAUCAAUCUUAGCUGAUACCUUAGGAAUGGGAUCUAGUCUGAUGCUGAUGGUGGUGGUGACAGCUGCACUGUUAGCACUGGUCCAUCCACCUAGUCAACAGCCACCUGGGAUCUCCACUUCUCUAGGGCCUCUUUCUGUGUCAUGACACAUUGGCAUGGAGGCUCUUGAGCAACCGCCAGUGGAUCAAUGGCAGCAGCAACAGCAAGGGGUGGGAGUUAUUUAGGCUAUGGUUGGUGGAUUGGGCUGCCAGCAUGGUGGUCUGGAAAACAUAUGGGGAUAUCUGCGUUCCAAACAUGCCUGAAACUACAUCCUCUUGUCUCCUCUCCCACUAUUCUUUCUGCAAACAUGUGGGACAUGUUUCAUUUUUUCCUGGUGCUUACAUAUAGAAAAGAUUUUUAUGGUUUGAUAUCAUCAUGUCUUAUGAGUUAUUGCCUUUUUUUUGUUUUAUACUACUGAGUGCCUAUGAUGAUUGAACUUCCACUAGAGAACUUCUGCACUCUAGUAUCUUCUGAGUUGGUCCCUGGGAUCUUCUAUUCUGUUUGUUCUAGGUGGUUGUUUUUCAUUUGCCUUCCUGCUUGAUUUGAACCUAGGGUCUGGGUCAUUGUUAGUGAGACUAAUAAUAUGGCAAGUUAGUUCAAUCUCAUAAGUUCCUACCAAAGUGCCCCUCAAGAACGAAGAAAAUAGAAUCUAUUCUCAUCUGGGGCAAUGGUCAACAACCAUGUCUGACAUAAGCACCUUUGAACAAACAAGGUUGCUAUGGGAACCAAACUGGAAUCCUCUUCUCUUGGGAAACCUUUUCAACCAUGUACUAACAGUUAUGGCUUUGUCCUUGGAUGGUCACACCAUUCUCCAGGAAUAAAAUUAUAUGCAUACCGGAUGCAAACCAAUUCCGUUGCUGCAUCUCACAUUUAUGAGUUGCAGACCCACAUGUAAGAAGUUACAGCUGCUUGAUAUCGAUCUUAACUUCUGUCCAUGUGGGCCUGCAGGUUAUAAAUGUGAGGUGUUGCAACGGAAUGGGUUUGCAUCCGGUAUGCAGGGAAUUUUUCCAUUCUUCAUGGGUGAUAACCAGGGCAGGUUCACUUAUCAGAAUAAGUUGAUCUGGUGAUUAGAAAUGAUGAGAAUACAGUUGAAUGAAUUUUGUUCAUUUUAUGGUUUGAUCUUAACACUAUUCACAUUUGAAUUUUGUUCAUUUGUAGGUUGAAAUGUUUCACCCCUUCCUGCAGGUCGAGUUUUGUAGAUCAUGUACUCCACUAGUUGGAGCUGGGUGAGUUUGAACUUAGGAGGGCAUUGUGUUUUUGCAAUUACUAGCUUUGGGCCAUCACAACUAUUAUAGCCGUUCAGGGUGUGGC